CGUUUUAGUUAAUUUGAUGAAUCUGUAUAUUAAAUUGUCAGUUUGUGUACCUCGGCUGAUUCCUGGACGAGGAUUUUAUGCACAAAUAAGUUCGGAAAUUACUAGUGAAUUUCCGGGCGUGACAUCCACCGAGGAGGCGAGACGACGAAGGUUUGAAACAUGAAGAGAAAAAAUGGUCCCGCCGUUAAUUUAAAGGCUUUUUUAGAAAAGGCUGCUGCAAAGAAGAGAACUCAAGAAGCAACUGGUCCAAGUCAGCCUUCUUGCAUUGGUCCAAGUCAGCCUUCUUGUAUUGAGAGUCAGAUGCAAGUAGUGAUAUAUCAAGGUCAACUCGAGAAUGAGAGUGAUAGUGGGGCAAGCAGUCCAACCACAGUACCGCCUGAUGUAGAGAAUUAUGAUAUUGGAGGAGGGCCAAAUGAUGAGUCAUCAAGUGAUGAAGACAAUGAUGGUGGUGUAUAUGACAUAGAGCAUGAUCCUGGAUUGAGGACUCCUAUCUCACAAUAUGAUGUCAAUGACCAAGAUUCAGUUAGAAGGGAGUAUAUUGCAUUGGGCCCUUGCCAACCAAAGAUGAAGAAGGGGGAUUUUCCGCAGCAUGAGUGUGGAGGUAUGCGCCGCUUCCUGCCAAAAUGGUUUUUUGAGUUCAAGUGGCUUGAGUAUAGUGUGCAUAGAGAUGCUGCAUAUUGCUUUGUUUGUUACUUGUUCAAAGAUAGCACUAACAAUCAUGGUGGAGAUGCUUUUGUUAAUGGAGGUUUUAGAAACUGGAACAUUAAAAGUAGAUUUAGUAAACAUGCUGGUGCUGUCAAUAGUGCUCAUUGUGAAGCUGAAGAGAAAUACAAUUUGUUCAUGCAACCUAAGACAUCAAUUCGUGAGUCCUUUGCAUCAAACUCUGUAGAGUUUAAGGUUCAAUACUUAGCUCGCUUGACAUGGUCACUUAAGUGCAUAAGAUAUCUUCUGCGGCAGGGGUUGGCUUUUCGUGGUCAUGAUGAGUCAAAGGAUUCUAACAACAAAGGAAAUUUUAGGGAACUUGUGCAAUGGCUAGCUGGGAACUUUGAAGAAGUUAAUAAGGUGGUUCUAGGAAAUGCUCCAACUGGUUGUCAAAUGAUAGACCACAAGAUUCAGAAACAACUCAUUGGUUCUUGUGCUCACGAAACAACUAAACUUGUCAUAGAGGAACUUCAUGAUGAGUGUUUUGCAAUUCUUGCUGAUGAGUCUAGUGAUGCCUACCAAAAAGAACAAUUGGCUCUUUGCUUGCGGUUUGUCAAUAUGACGGGGCAACCAGUUGAACGGUUUCUUGGUCUUGUCCAUGUUGAAGAUACUACAUCAUUGACUCUUAAGGAGGCAAUUAAGUCUUUGCUUAUUAAGUACCAACUACCCUUAUCCAAGGUACGUGGACAAGGAUAUGAUGGUGCUAGUAACAUGAAGGGUCAUAUUAAUGGUUUGAAUAAACUAAUUAUGGAUGAAUCCCCCUCAGCUUGUACAUUGUUUUGCCCAUCAACUUCAACUAACCCUUGUAGCUGUUGCUAAGGAGAAUACUGAUUGUGCAUGGUUUUUUGGGCAACUUGCAUAUUUGUUGAAUGUCCUUGGGAUGUCUUGUAAAAAGAUCCGCAUGCUUCGUAUAGCUCAAGCUGAGUAUAUGAUUGAAGCAUUGAAGUUGGGUGAAAUUGAGAGUGGCCAAGGUCUGAAUCAAGAGAUGGGCUUAGCAAGGCCAGGUGAUACACGUUGGGGAUCUCACUACAAGACAGUAAUGCAUGUCAUGCUUCUAUAUCCUUCAAUCAAGAAACUUCUAUUCAAGGUUGGGAAAGAGUGUAAUGAGGCAGAGGCUAUAGGAGCUCAAACUAUGCUACAAGUAUUUCAGUCAUUUGAGCUUGUUUUCUUGUUGCACAUGAUGAAUGAAAUAUUUGGAUACACAAGUGACUUCUGCAAUGCUCUGCAAAGGAGGGAGCAAGAUAUUGUGAAUGCAAUGGAUCUUCUUGAGUUCACAAAGGCAGAACUUGAUGUUUUGAGAGAAGAUUGUGGAUGGAAAGAAUUUCUUGGAAAGGUCACUUCUUUUUGUGUGAAGCACAAAGUUAAAGUUGUUGACAUGGAUGGGAAGUAUAAGCCUAUACAAAGAUCAAGGAAAUUCUUCAGAGAUGCUAUUAAUUACCAUCGAUUCCAUGCCGAUAUGUUUUUGGGUGUCAUUGAUAGGCAACUUCAAGAGCUCAAUAACAGAUUUGAUGAGGUAAACACAGAAUUACUUAGAUGCAUGGCAUCAUUUAGCCCAGCCAAAUCCUUCUCUGCUUUUAAUGUUGACAACUUAGUUAAGCUUGCCAAGUUCUAUCCUAGUGAUUUUGAUGUUGAAGAAAUGAACCAACUCCCCUUUCAACUGAACCGCUAUAUUAGUGAUGUGGGUAAGGAUGAGAAUUUCACAAAUUUGAGAAGUUUAACAGACCUAUCUAUGAUGCUUGUCAAAAAAAAAA